UACGUAGGGUGCGAGCGUUAAUCGGAAUUACUGGGCGUAAAGCGUGCGCAGGCGGUUUGUUAAGUCAGACGUGAAAGCCCCGGGCUCAACCUGGGAAUGGCGUUUGAAACUGGCGAGCUGGAGUACGGCAGAGGGGGGUGGAAUUCCACGUGUAGCAGUGAAAUGCGUAGAUAUGUGGAGGAACACCGAUGGCGAAGGCAGCCUCCUGGGCCAGCACUGACGCUCAUGCACGAAAGCGUGGGGAGCAAACAGG
rnacentral:rRNA from 1 species